rnacentral:lncRNA from 1 species
CCUGGGUGGUUAAAGGUUUGGACCUGUGGGACUCUGAGCCUUGGUCUUCACAUCUGCAGGAUGGGGAGACAGGACCAGAGGGUGGGGCCAGGCCGACCACAGGCCGUCCUUGGAGGUGGUGUGAGUGGGGGCAGGGUGCAGAGAAAGGCAUUUCCGGGAGGAGCAGGAAGGAAGGCCGGGCGGUUUCCCUCCUGAGCUCCAAACACCUUCCCUGCUUCCUCACACUCUUCCCAGCCCAGCGGGGGGAUUCUCUUCUACAUGCAUUCGUUCACUCGUUCGUGCGUUCCACGCAUCUCUGCUGAGCACUUGCUUCCCUCCCCCACCCCCUUGGUGUCGACUUCAGGAAAGCGGUUCCCCAGGCGCCAGGAGCUGCGGAGGAGGCCGGCCAGCCGGAAGGGGGACAAUUAAAUCCAGGGGAGAAAGAGUUAAGCGAGCUCCCGCCCCGGCCCCCUCCCGCCCCGCACAAUUCACCAGGAAAUAAACAAGAAAGGCUUGUUUCCAUUUGUCCUCGAAAAAUACAAGGAUUUCCUCUCGGCUGGUCUGGUCUGUCCCCCAAGGUCCCUUUGAACCCCAGAGGGCCAGGGCAAGAAGGGGGCCCUGGGGUGGGCACAGGGCUACGUGGGCAGCCCCUCAUUGAGCUCCCAACCGUCCUGUCCCCCUUGGACCUGCAGCCGGGCAGGGGUCUCUCAGGGAUCCUGGAAGGACAGAGGCCCGCCCUGGGCCCCAGGGGGUGAGCCAGAGUCGUUCCAAAGGGGUGAAAGUGGGCUCACAUCCUCGCUUGCUCACUUGUUUACAGAGGACCUGUUGCGGGCAGGACGGCUCUGCUCUGCAAGCUCAUCACACAGACCAGAGACCAACGCUUAGGGAGCAGCUUGUGUGUCCCCUGGGACGAUCAGAAAAGGCCUCUUGAGGACUGAGCACCAGAAGAGUGGGGCUGAGCAUUUGGCAGAGGUCACAGCUUGUGCAAAGGCACUGGGGCGGGAAGGUGCUAGUAUCUUCAAGAAACAGGCAGAAGGUUAGCGAGGCAUGAAAGGAGCAGGGGCUGGUGGCAGGAAGGGCCUGGCAGCGCCCUCAGGCACCACCACCAGCCUGUCAGGAGGCAUUUAGACCUUGAUCCCGUCCCAACAGGCUUUAAGCCCUGUGGUUUACAAUCCCUUUUCGGAAUUGCGCACUGGUUGAUAGGUUAGACAUGGGGUCGGGGCAGGAGAGGGCUCAGCAGAAGCCCGGGUUUCUGGGCACCUGGGCUGACAUGGGUGCGUUGGGGCAGGGCAGGUAUGGUGGUGGGUGAUGUGGAUUAAGGCUGCCCCAGCUAGAGAAGCCCAAGGUGACCUGGCCUACAUGCCAAACUAUACGACCCAGUGGACUUUUUUUAUGGUAUGAAUUAGGGCUGCCCCAGGGAGAGAAGCCCAGGGCAUCCUCACCUACAUGCCGAACAAUAUGGCCAGAUUCGUAUCUAAAGUUAUAUGACUGCACAAUAACCAGACCCCAUCUGCACUGAAAUCAUUUAAUGACUUUUUACAUCAUCUUUUCUUUUCUCCAGUAAAAAUAAGUCACGUACCCAUGCCUUAUAAAAUUAGCCCUAUCUCUCAACUCAGGGCAGCAGCAGGAGCUCUGACUGCCCGUGGGUCCUGUCCCCA